UACAGAGGGCCCAAGCGUUGUUCGGAUUCAUUGGGCGUAAAGGGUGCGUAGGCGGCGCGGUAAGUCGGGUGUGAAAUCUCGGAGCUUAACUCCGAAACUGCAUUCGAUACGGGCAGACUAGAGUGUGGUAGGGGAGAUCGGAAUUCCUGGUGUAGCGGUGAAAUGCGCAGAUAUCAGGAGGAACACCGGUGGCGAAGGCGGAUCUCUGGGCCAGUACUGACGCUGAGGAGCGAAAGCGUGGGGAGCGAACAGG
rnacentral:rRNA from 1 species